GAGGAGUUGUACGCUGUGCCCGCAGCGAGGAGGCAGCGAUGUGGGGAAAGAACGGGCAGCGGAGAUACGAGGGAGUCAGCUGCCGUGGCAACCAUCUUGCAGACACUUUGUGAGACUGGAGCACAUCAUGCGCAGUGUGGUGUGCUGACCCACGACUAAUCUGUAAACAUGCUGCAAUGUCAUUCAGUGUCACUCGGCGGUUAUCCUUCACCAUGGCUUCAACUGCUGCAAUGUUCUGUGGAGUCACAACUCGUUUGGCCUGACCUGGACGAGUAGCGUCUUCCACUGAAGUCACACCAUUUGUGAACUUCCUACUGCUGUGACAAACAUGCAUCACUGUACUGAACCUUCAUUCGUCGAUGAAUUUCAAUAGGUUUCACACCUUCACUAAGUAAAAACCGAAUAACAGAACCCUGUUCUUCCGUGGUGCAAGUCGCAAGUGGGUCGGCCAUCUUCAUACUGAUAUUGCGACGGUAUGUGUGCAUCUGCACUAUGCUGCCACCUCCAGGCCAUUCUGCACGCUACCUGUAGUACGCUUACCAACCUACAGAAUAAUGGCGCGAAAUUUCGAUUAGUUAUUACAAAUUUAAGGUUUUCAUUUGACUCACCCUCUUACAUCUGGUAUUAAGGAUAACAAAUGCGAGCCACAGAAGCCUAAAUUUUCAGUUCAUGUCGGCGAGUGACGCUUAAAGAAAAAAAGUAAUGCCUCCGACUUUUUAAUGUGAAACUUCGUACAGAUUUUUGAAUGAAAUAAACAUUAUCAACAUUUAGAUCUUUAUUGUUCUAGUAUUUGCAGCCCUCUGCCGGUAGAGGGUUCCGAAUUGUCGCGUGUAACCUGACGGCGUGUAACUUAACUACGUACUUGCGUGAGAAACAGGGUGCUGUAAUCAAGUUCUGAAUUCGAAGAGUUCGUACUCUCUCUUUCAGUAUGACACACGAGAUCUGCAACAAUACAACCCCUGGGAUAACAGUCGUCGUUCGUCCCCCAUACAGUCCCGAAUUGUCCUCAUCCGAUUUUCAUCUGUUUGCUAAACUUAAAGAAUACUUUUGAGGACUUUAUAGUGCUGAAGAGCUGCAAGCACAUGUGAGGUUGAGGCAACGUCAGCAAAGUUCUACAAGGACGGUGUCAACAAACUGGUUACUCGUUGGGAGAAAUGAGUUCGUCGUCAGAGUAAAUAUCUUGAGAAAUAGAUAUGUAGACAUGAAGAAUACCGAAGUAGGAUCAAUAAUUUUCGUUAUAUUUAAAGAGCUUUAAGAGUUUUUACAUAAAAAAUUCGGAGGCAUUACUUUUCAGCAUGCCCUCAUACAUGAUGCUGUGUGUCUUACUUCUUUUCGUUCAUCUUAGUAAAUGUUUUGGGAAAGCCUGCAACUGUGUCAUCCAUGAUUUAAAUGAUGAAAACUGCACCAGUUGCUUAUUUUUUUCAAGUACAUAUGUGUGCUUUUCUGCCUCUCUUCCAAACAUCAGCAAACAUAUUCAUGUAAACAAAUGCACAUAUGUACUUCAAAAUGAGAAUAAAUUCUCGAAACGUGUUCUGCUGAGCAGCAAAAAAUAAGUAACUAGUGCAGUUUUCAUUCUUUAAAUCAUGUCUUGAUUCUCUUUAUGAUAGGUUGGCAUGAGUUACAUACGUUGCUAGUGUUGAACUUUAUUUGCACUACAUGCACGAACAGGAUGCAAUAUAAAAAAAGUUGUCUUAUACAUAGCUGGAGGUGCUGUAAACGUAGCAUAUGGGUGUAAAACACAUUAGUAAAUACUUAAUAUACUUCUACCACAUAUGUUCUACAGGUAAUACUGCUUAAUGCAUCACAAAUCUUCAAGCUAAAAAAAAAUGUAUGGGAACUACCUAAUAAAGACUCGCUUUCCAUGAU